GCUGGCGGCGUGCUUAACACAUGCCAGUCGAACGGACAGGCCCUGCUUUUGUGGGGUGCUCGAGUGGCGAACGGGUGAGUAACACGUGAGUAACCUGCCCUUGACUUUGGGAUAACUUCAGGAAACUGGGGCUAAUACCGGAUAGGAGCUCCUGCUGCAUGGUGGGGGUUGGAAAGUUUCGGCGGUUGGGGAUGGACUCGCGGCUUAUCAGCUUGUUGGUGGGGUAGUGGCUUACCAAGGCUUUGACGGGUAGCCGGCCUGAGAGGGUGACCGGCCACAUUGGGACUGAGAUACGGCCCAGACUCCUACGGGAGGCAGCAGUGGGGAAUAUUGCACAAUGGGCGGAAGCCUGAUGCAGCAACGCCGCGUGCGGGAUGACGGCCUUCGGGUUGUAAACCGCUUUCGCCUGUGACGAAGCGUGAGUGACGGUAAUGGGUAAAGAAGCACCGGCUAACUACGUG
rnacentral:rRNA from 1 species